GCAUCUCUCACUCCCACCACCACACAAGGUGCCGAGAACCAAACCCAGGUCGUUAUGUCGUUAUGCUUCUGGUACGCACGUUAGCCGUUAAGCCACCUCCCCAGAGGUGUAUUUUUUUUUUUUUUUUUUUUUUUUUUGGUUUGAGUACCAGACUCUGUACUCUGUGAGUACAUCAACUCUUGUAACUUCCCCAGGCACGACGUGAAGACGAAAGAGGAAGAGCUCCCAUUUUACAGCCUCCAUUGUGGUAGGAGACACCAGCCACCCUUGUGGAAGGCUAAGGUGGUUGUCUGCUUGGAAGAUGACUCACUCCUCAGUCCACAUGACACCACUGAUGCUGGUGUGCCUUAAAAACAAGAGUCAAGGAACUGGAAACGCCGUGUUCUUAGACUUGAUCCUCAACACAACACUCUAUGCCUGCCAUUUUCUCCUUGGCGACUUGUUUCACGCUCAGGAACCCAUUAAGCACAACUUUGACUGAUAAUUGAUAAUAUUAACAAGCAUUUAUAUCAUAGAUGUGAUCCAAUUAUAAAUACAUUAAAUAUUUCAUGUGUAUAUAAUAUUUAGAUGAAAUGAAAUAUUAAAUAUUUUAUAUUAUAUUAAAUAAAUACUAAACAUAUUUUAAAGUUUACA
rnacentral:lncRNA from 1 species